UACGUAGGGUGCGAGCGUUAAUCGGAAUUACUGGGCGUAAAGCGUGCGCAGGCGGUUUUGUAAGACAGGUGUGAAAUCCCCGGGCUUAACCUGGGAACUGCAUUUGUGACUGCAAGACUAGAGUGUGGUAGAGGAGAGUGGAAUUCCCGGUGUAGCAGUGAAAUGCGUAGAGAUCGGGAGGAACAUCAGUUGCGAAGGCGGCUCUCUGGACCAUCACUGACACUGAGGCACGAAAGCGUGGGGAGCAAACAGG
rnacentral:rRNA from 1 species